rnacentral:rRNA from 1 species
UAGGGAAUCUUCCACAAUGGGCGAAAGCCUGAUGGAGCAACGCCGCGUGUGUGAUGAAGGGUUUCGGCUCGUAAAACACCUGUUGUAAGAGAAGAAUGACAUUGAGAGUAACUGUUCAAUGUGUGACGGUAUCUUACCAGAAAGGAACGGCUAAAUACGUGUCAG